rnacentral:rRNA from 1 species
UACAGAGGGUGCGAGCGUUAAUCGGAAUUACUGGGCGUAAAGGGCGCGUAGGUGGUUUAUUAAGAUGGAUGUGAAAUCCCUGGGCUUAACCUAGGAACGGCAUCGAUGACUGAUAAGCUAGAGUACUGUAGAGGGUAGUGGAAUUUCCGGUGUAGCGGUGAAAUGCGUAGAGAUCGGAAGGAACACCGGUGGCGAAGGCGGCUACCUGGACAGCUACUGACACUGAGGCGCGACAGCGUGGGGAGCAAACAGG